rnacentral:tRNA from 1 species
AAGGCUUUAGCUUAAAUAAAGUAUUUGGUUUGCAACCAGGAGAUGUAGAAUAAGUAUCUGCAAGUCUUA